rnacentral:rRNA from 1 species
AUUGAACGCUGGCGGCAGGCCUAACACAUGCAAGUCGAACGAGUGGCGGACGGGUGAGUAAUGUCUGGGAAACUGCCCGAUGGAGGGGGAUAACUACUGGAAACGGUAGCCAAUAACGCAUACCAUCGGAUGUGCCAAGAUGGGAUUAGCUAUGAGGUGGGGGAACGGCUCCACUAGGCGACGAUCCCUCGCUGGUAUGAGAGGAUGACCAGCCACACUGUAACUGAGCCCCGGUACAGACUCCUACGGGAGGCAGCAUUGGGGAGUAUUGCACUAUGUGCGCAAGCCUGAUGCAGCCAUGCCGAGUGUAUGAAGAAGGCCUUCGGGUUGUAAAGUACUUUCAGCGGGGAGGCGUUACCCGCAGAAGAAGCACCGGCUAACUACGUGCCAGCAGCCGCGGUAAUUC